AUCCAAGACGAUCCACGCUUCUACAACCGUCGUAUCUUUUUACUCCGUCCCAUUGGUCGUCGCGACGAAUUUAUAACGACAGAAUAGCCGAUUAAUAUUCUUCAGAGAAUCCGACGAUUCCUUCCUGGUACGCUCAUUGUUACGCUAAACGAAAGACGUUGAGGUUGAAAUAGCUCGCGGAUCGGAACGUAGAAGGGAUAAAAGAUGUUGUAUGGCCGGGUCCGUAUGAAAAGAGGACUUUGAAAGGGGUGAGGUUGCUACAGGCUUAGAAAAGGCAGUUACGAAUUGCUUUAUCUUCCCCUCGGAGAGAUGAUCCCGAAAAAUCGAUUCAACGGACGCUUCUUCGUACUACGCUCUGCACAACUACGUUGUCGAAAACCUCGGACGUGCCCGCAUCCUUCGUGAAAAGAACACGCGGAGCUUCUACUAUCAAGAAACGUGAAGACCAUAGCGAGACCCGGUACCGCGUCUGAAUGACUUCAACGAUGACGACGAUGAAAACAGCCAUGAAUAAAAAUGAUCCUAUGGACGUCUAGUAGCAACUGGAUAACCGUGAUGUCGAAACGGCUGGCACCUAUUACAGGCACCGCCACUAUACACGUACUUUAUUACUGUUAUAACAUUAUGGUACAGGUCACAUGACCGUGAGUCAACAGUUACGCUGUACUGGUCACAGUUCGUGGCAGCCAGCGAUACUUUUUGACCAUAGGUCGUCGUUAGAUGCCCCUCGAACUUCGCAUCUCCGAUUAAUUGUUGAAUCGGUAGAAAAGAGAAGAGUAAUAAAGUUCAAUUGAUUUCGCUGAAUUUUAUUUUAUUUUAAACAAAUCUUUUUUUCGAUAUACUCGUCAUUGCUUACUUUCUGCGAUUUAAAUGAACAGCCUUAUCUCUUACAAAUAGUUAAUGUAAAACAUAAAAUAUUGUGUACUAGUUAUUAAUAGAACGAAAGAAACUCGUGGUACAACCUAACAGAUCGCGCCAGCUAAUUGGUCGACGAGGGUUUCUGGAUAGAUCUGCCAAAGAUGACGAGGAUUACCAAUUAAGGACAAAACGGAUUCCGAAAACGUUCGAACACCCAAGUUCUCUUAACGAGGUGUCGGUUGGCUGCGCGGCCAUGUAGAGAACUAGACUAACAGAAUGACCGGAAUUACAGAUUUAUGCUAAUUGAAAGCUUAUUAAUAUUGCCGGUGCGAAUUAGUCGCAUUUGUCCCGUAGAUGCUGCGCCAUUUUCAGUGGUUAGAAGCGUUGGACGGACGUGCAAGAAUGUCGGGCUAAUUGACACCCUCCCCUCUUCCAUCUCCGUACCCAGCAAUCGAGUUCUCAUUUGUUAAUUAGGCAGUGCGCAAGGACAUUGUGUUUUAUCCAGCAAUGUAAUGGGUUCGCCUGAACACGUACAGUGGGAUAUUAUCGUCAUAUCGAUAUCGUAGGUACGCGACACGUUUGCAAAGUCAAUAGACCACCAUUCAUAGAAUACCAUUUAUUUAUAUUUAUAGAUUCGUCCAAAGGUAUCGAAAUUUCCCUACGAUAGAAUCGACAAGUGUCGCUUCGUGGAAUAGCACUUGCAGCGUAGCCGGGCAAAAAUUUCUGCUAGGAUUAAAUAUUAGUUAAACUAUCAGAGACUACAUAAUCAAACAUUUAUCGUGGUAUUUAUUUUCGUAACUUCAUCAAAACUUCUUCAAAAUUCCUUUGAAUGCCGUCAAGGCAUUCUUACCUUGCUUUGCUCACAUUUUUAUGCCCUAUAUUAUCGAUAAAUUUGCACGGAGCAACAAAAAUGUGUCGACUGUACGCAGUCGUCCAAGACUUCACAGAUCGGGAGGACGAAGCAAACGCCAUUCGUGUGUUUCCCAAUGUCCGACUUAUUGUUAGAGUAAACAUUGCGUCGCGGCAGCCUUCGAGAAAUGCAAACCACAGUCGCUCGCGAAUUGUCCUUUCGAGAGUUCGCCAUGGCACCCAGGUCUUAAUGGAUACGUCCAUGAAUUUAACGCACAGAUCCUUCGGGGAAUCGUCACGAUCUCGCGGUUUCUUUCGUGGCCACGUAGUCUGAAUCAGCGGACUUUUCUCGCUCGCACGUGCGUCGACUGCGAAUCGCGCUUUGCCUUUUUUGUACAAAUUCUUUUUAAAAUUUACGUUACCCGACUCUGUAACAGGCUUUACGCACGAUUGCGACGAAACGACAUCUUUUACGUUUCACUGUAAUAGUCUGUUGGAUUAACACUUUCAGUUUUAGACAUAUUCGUGAAUAUACUUAUGAAGCUAAAAUUUUGUUUUUAUACAAUUGGACACUGUACAUAUAAACAAGCAUUCGCGUUAGUAUUUAGGUUUGCAACCCGAUCGAAAUUUACGAAUCCUAUCCAGACUUGUUUUUCUUUUUAACACCUGAUUUUCAGAAUUAAUUUGUUAAUUUCUUAGAGAAAACGAACAUGGUAAUUUAUAGUAUUCCAGAUUAAUAAUUCCGAAUUGUGCGUUACAGCGUCAGUUUUUCGCAGCAUAUAGAAUGACAUCCGUUCCCUGGAAAAUCACCAACGCUUAAUGGAAUCGUAACGUUGCGAAAAUAUCGGCAAUGGACUCGAGUAAUUAACCACGUAUCCAGAGUCAUGAAUAAAUACACGGCGAGCGUAUGCGUAGGAUUGAAAAUGAUCGACGGCCUUGUCGUGUUUCCACGUCGACGCAGCUUCGCAUCCUCUGCAAAAACGUUGUUACUCCGCUCGCUAUCGAUAAUUCCACGCGCGACACACUUUUUUCUUCCGGUCGUUAUUAAUUUGUGUAGCGGUUUGUUUUUCCAUUGAACCGCGUCGAACAAUGCGCGAUUCGAUGAUUCUUGUUACUCAUCGCACACUUCCGUUUUGCUUAUCUUUCCACAAUGACCAAGCGAUAACCUUGGCAAACGAAACUUUCACUUCGUACCUUUUUUGCGAAACGUCCACGUCGCGAAAGAAUUCGUUUUUCUUGUUUAACAGAACGAAAAUGCGAGUGUGGGAAAUAAUUUAAAGCGUUUCAUUCCGGCACGCUCGAUCAAGAAGUCAUCUGAAACAGGCUGGAAAUAAAGUUAUUGGAGAAAUUCGACCCUGUGACUCGUGAAAAGCACAGAUGGCCAGACUAAUCCGCGCUGCGGGCGAGCAAGAGGAAAUUGCAAGCUACACACCGGGACAUGUUUUUAUUAGACGC